rnacentral:snRNA from 1 species
UGAUGUGAGGGUGCUCUGGCUGCAGGAUGUCACCCCUUUUUGCUGGGAUUUAUUCAAUUGAUCUGGCUGGCUGGGCAAGUGACCCUUUCCUCCCUCACCACUCCAUUUGUAUCCCUCCCAAAGCUAUGCAUUCAGUCACAAAGGAUGACCUUGCCUGAUAGAACUUCCCUAAUUUUUCCAUCAAGGUAUACAACUGGCUGCAUUCUUCGGCUAGAACCACCUCUGGAUUGAUGGUGGAAAGCUGUCUAGAUAUAUAAUUACAUCAAUGUGGGGAACUCUCAAUAUGGAAACUUCCACCUAU